CCUACGGGUGGCUGCAGUGAGGAAUAUUGGUCAAUGGGCGGAAGCCUGAACCAGCCAAGUAGCGUGCGGGAUGAAGGCCCUACGGGUCGUAAACCGCUUUUGCACGGGGAUAACACCCUCCACUUGUGGAGGUCUGCAGGUACCGUGCGAAUAAGGGCCGGCUAAUUCCGUGCCAGCAGCCGCGGUAAUACGGAAGGCCCGAGCGUUAUCCGGAUUUAUUGGGUUUAAAGGGUGCGUAGGCGGGCUGUUAAGUCAGCGGUCAAAUGUCGGGGCUCAACCCCGGCCUGCCGUUGAAACUGGCGGCCUCGAGUGGGCGAGAAGUAUGCGGAAUGCGUGGUGUAGCGGUGAAAUGCAUAGAUAUCACGCAGAACUCCGAUUGCGAAGGCAGCAUACCGGCGCCCGACUGACGCUGAGGCACGAAAGCGUGGGUAUCGAACAGGAUUAGAUACCCGUGUAGUC
rnacentral:rRNA from 1 species